UACGGGGGGGGCAAGCGUUGUUCGGAAUUACUGGGCGUAAAGGGUUUGUAGGUGGCCAACUAAGUCAGACGUGAAAUCCCUCAGCUUAACUGGGGAACUGCGUCUGAUACUGGUUGGCUUGAGUGCAGGAGAGGAACGCGGAAUUCCAGGUGUAGCGGUGAAAUGCGUAGAUAUCUGGAGGAACACCGGUGGCGAAGGCGGCGUUCUGGACUGCAACUGACGCUGAGGCACGAAAGCGUGGGGAGCGAACAGG
rnacentral:rRNA from 1 species